CCUACGGGAGGCAGCAGUGGGGAAUAUUGCGCAAUGGGCGAAAGCCUGACGCAGCGACGCCGCGUGAGGGAUGAAGGUCUUCGGAUCGUAAACCUCUGUCAGCAGGGAAGAACGGUCACUGUGCUAAUCAGCAGUGAAUUGACGGUACCUGCAAAGGAAGCACCGGCUAACUCCGUGCCAGCCGCCGCGGUAAUACGGAGGGUGCGGGCGUUAAUCGGAAUUAUGGGGCGUAAAGGGCUCGUAGGCGGGAUGUCAAGGCAAGGGUGAAAUCCCCGGGCUCAACGUGGGAACUGACUUUGAAACUGGCGAACUUGAGUGUGUGAGAGGAUAGUGGAAUUCCAGGUGUAGGAGUGAAAUCCGUAGAUAUCUGGAGGAACAUCAGUGGCGAAGGCGGCUAUCUGGCACAUAACUGACGCUGAGGCGCGAAAGCGUGGGUAGCAAACAGGAUUAGAUACCCUUGUAGUC
rnacentral:rRNA from 1 species